UACGUAGGGUGCGAGCGUUGUCCGGAAUUAUUGGGCGUAAAGAGCUUGUAGGCGGUUUGUCGCGUCUGCUGUGAAAUCUCAAGGCUCAACCUUGAGCUUGCAGUGGGUACGGGGCAGACUAGAGUGUGGUAGGGGAGACUGGAAUCCUGGUGUAGCGGUGAAAUGCGCAGAUAUCAGGAGGAACACCGAUGGCGAAGGCAGGUCUCUGGG
rnacentral:rRNA from 1 species